AUGAACGCUAGCGACAGGCCUAACACAUGCAAGUCGAGGGGCAGCACAAGGAGCAACCUGAGGUGGCGACCGGCGCACGGGUGAGUAACACGUAUGCAACCUGCCUGUAAGCGGGGAAUAACCCGUUGAAAGACGGACUAAUACCGCAUAAUACUAAAUUACUGCAUGGUAAUUUAUUUAAACAUUUAUGGCUUACAGAUGGGCAUGCGCAUGAUUAGCUAGUUGGAGAGGCAACGGCUCCCCAAGGCAACGAUCAUUAGGGGUUCUGAGAGGAAGGUCCCCCACACUGGUACUGAGACACGGACCAGACUCCUACGGGAGGCAGCAGUGAGGAAUAUUGGUCAAUGGACGAGAGUCUGAACCAGCCAAGUCGCGUGCAGGAAGAAUGUUCCCUAUGGAUUGUAAACUGCUUUUGCAGGGGAAUAAAGUGCAUCACGUGUGAUGUUUUGUAUGUACUCUGCGAAUAAGGAUCGGCUAACUCCGUGCCAGCCGCAGC
rnacentral:rRNA from 1 species